UCAGGUAGAGCAGAGAAGCUGAAUGCAGUUUGGUUGGUGUACCUGUUGCCAUUCAUUUGGAGGAAAGUUUGCACCCUUGGUAGGCGAAGCGAGUUUCACGGUGCUCGACGAUGGAAUAAAAUUUUGCACCAGUUGAACUCUACGCUGUCUUAUUGAUGCCAAGGGCUGUAACAGACUGGGUGUGGAGCUCAAGCAAUGCCCAAGCAUGAUCCAGUUUAAAAAGCGUCAUCCAUCACUCACCUGUCCCCUGCUUCCCUGGACUGUAUCCAAAGCCCUGCAUUCCUGACCUGUGGGAAGUUGCUGAGCCCAUCCCUGGACAGAAAGACACAGGAGAAGUAUUGUGCUCAGCCUUCAGUUCACAUAUUACAACGAGCCUUACAUAACUGAUUAAAAUCAUUUAAGCUCCUUACAGACACUCAUGCUCUCUAAUAUUUCAGAUGACGGACGGUAUUAUUACAUAUGACAGUCGGAAUGGGUUCUGACUAUUCUGAUUGGUUUCCAAGUUGGUUAAAUAUCCUGUAGCACCUAGUAAUGUAAUCAUUUCCUGAAAAUGUGAUAAAAUUUGCACUUAACCUGUUCGAAAAUGUUAUAAGACCCAAUAAUAACCAAUCAUGUAAUAAAAUGAUAUUGUAAUACGAUUUUCUCUGAUAAUAAAAUACCUUUCAGGUGGCUCUUUUAUAUUUAAA